UGGAGGCAGCAGUGGGGAAUAUUGCACAAUGGGGGAAACCCUGAUGCAGCAACGCCGCGUGAGUGAAGAAGGCCUUCGGGUCGUAAAGCUCUGUCUUUAGGGACGAUAAUGACGGUACCUAAGGAGGAAGCCACGGCUAACUACGUGCCAGCAGCCGCGGUAAUACGUAGGUGGCGAGCGUUGUCCGGAAUUACUGGGCGUAAAGGGUGCGUAGGCGGUUUCUUAAGUCAGAUGUGAAAUUCCGGGGCUCAACUUCGGAACUGCAUUUGAAACUGGGGAGCUAGAGUGCAGGAGAGGAAAGCGGAAUUCCUAGUGUAGCGGUGAAAUGCGUAGAUAUUAGGAAGAACACCAGUGGCGAAGGCGGCUUUCUGGACUGUAACUGACGCUGAGGCACGAAAGCGUGGGGAGCAAACAGGAUUAGAUACCCCGGU
rnacentral:rRNA from 1 species